rnacentral:rRNA from 1 species
CCUACGGGAGGCAGCAGUGAGGAAUAUUGGUCAAUGGACGAGAGUCUGAACCCGCCAAGUAGCGUGAAGGCUGACUGCCCUAUGGGUUGUAAACUUCUUUUAUAUGGGAAUAAAAUGUUCCACGUGUGGGAUUUUGUAUGUACCAUAUGAAUAAGGAUCGGCUAACUCCGUGCCAGCAGCCUCGGUAAUACGGAGGAUCCGAGCGUUAUCCGGAUUUAUUGGGUUUAAAGGGAGCGUAGGUGGAUUGUUAAGUCAGUUGUGAAAGUUUGCGGCGCAACCGUAAAAUUGCAGUUGAAACUGGCAGUCUUGAGUACAGUAGAGGUGGGCGGAAUUCGUGGUGUAGCGGUGAAAUGCUUAGAUAUCACGAAGAACUCCGAUUGCGAAGGCAGUUCACUGGACUGCAACUGACACUGAGGCUCGAAAGUGUGGGUAUCAAACAGGAUUAGAUACCCUAGUAGUC